UACGUAGGGGGCAAGCGUUGUCCGGAAUUAUUGGGCGUAAAGAGCGCGUAGGCGGUCCGAUAAGUCGGCUGUGAAAGUCAAGGGCUCAACCCUUGAAAGCCGGCCGAUACUGUCGGACUAGAGUCCGGAAGAGGCGAGUGGAAUUCCCGGUGUAGCGGUGAAAUGCGUAGAUAUUGGAAAGAACACCGAUGGCGAAGGCACUCUACUGGGCUAUUACUGACACUCAGAGACGAAAGCUAGGGGAGCAAAUGGG
rnacentral:rRNA from 1 species